rnacentral:rRNA from 1 species
UACAUGGGGUGCAAACGUUGCUCGGAAUUAUUGGGCGUAAAGCGCACGUAGGCGGUUCGUUAAGUCGGAUGUGAAAGCCCUCGGCUCAACUGAGGAAGUGCACCCGAAACUGGCGAGCUUGAGUACGAAAAGAGGAUCGCGGAAUUCCCGGUGUAGAGGUGAAAUUCGUAGAUAUCGGGAGGAACACCGGUGGCGAAGGCGGCUCUCUGGACCGAGACUGACGCGUGAGGCGCGAAAGCGUGGGGAGCAAACAGG